rnacentral:lncRNA from 1 species
GUUUUUUGUUAUUGUUGUUGUUUGUUUUUUUAAUGUGACAGCAUGCCUUUUUAAGGUUGUCUGUUACAUUUCACUUGUAAUUAAUUAAGAAUUGGCCAAAGAAGAAUUUCAGAUGAACAGUAUCAAAAUAUAGGUGUACUGCUGAGAAAGAACUGUACCUUCUUUUCCCCAAAAGACAGAGGAGAAACUUAAAUGCUAGUGACCCUUCAAGGAUUAAAAAAUAUAUAUAAAGUAAAAAUAAGUCAUGACGGACAUGAGAAAAGCAGAGGAGGAAGCAAAGAGAGGAAUGAGGAAGGGAGCGCCUACUUGGAUCAAAAAACUGGUUAAAUAGUGCUAGGAUAUCAGCCUCCCUGCUAUCAGCAAUGAUUGGAAUUAAUCCAGGAAUUCAGAAUGGGUCUGUAAAUGUAUCUUCAAUUGUAGCCAUUGGCAUAGAUUUAUAUUCUCAGUCCCUUGGGCAUUGAAUUUCAUUUCCCCAUUUGCUAAAUGAGAACAAUUUAUCCUAAAUCAACGAUAAUCAGAGUAAACACUAUUAUUAAUUUAUUGUUUCCAGACUAGCAAAAAACAGUAAAAUGAAGCUCUCUUCUUUUAUCAGUGCUUUCCCUACCCCUUUUGCCCUGAGGAUCCUAUUAGCAGAAAGCUGAGCAACUCUGUUUCAUCAGAAAUAAAUUAUGCCUCACUUUUUUUUUAAUAAUUACUCAAUGAGUGAAUAGUCACCAGUCUUGAAGAGAACAGAAGAAAAGAUUGUAGGUGACAGACAGCAGUGACCGAAAGGGAUGGGGUGUCUGAAGGCUGGAGCAGUUGAUUUGCUAGGAGGCACAGGUCAUGCUGAUCUGACUGGGCAUGCUGUAUUUAUGUACCUGGAAGUCUGUAGGUCCCUGCUGGCCUCAACUUGUGCACAUGUGGGGGAGCUAAGCCCACAGGGGGUUCACUCUGUGAUGAAGUGUUGCUUGGAGCUGGGACUCUCACCUUCUUUGGAUAAUGUGGCUGGAUUCCCUUCAUCCCCCGACAUGGGAGAAAAGACUCCUUGGCAAAGUGUAACAAUCUCCCUAACUCGAUCUCUCGUGGGACUCACAGACUCCCAUCAACUGCACACUGACAGCAAAUCUAUUCCAGUACUUUUGGGAGAAUAAGAAUUGAUGCUAGCUUGGUGAAAGCGAUAAUGUGGCAUCCUUUUAGUCCUAUUCUUUCCUCACUUCUGGUGAUGUGAUUUUGUUACUAACACUGAGAAACUAAGUAGGGAGUGGAGAAGAUGGUGUCACCCUCAAAUCAGCCUGUCUUUGUCUCUGAGCAUAGUUUAAGGCAAGAGAUGCUGAGAUGCUGUGAUAGUAGUGGCACUGCCUAGAGUUGUGUAUAUUAAAGAUCCUUAAAUUCUCCCUGUGUAAUACUUUCAAAACAUCCCAAAAGUUUCUUCCAGCAGUGGGGUUGUGGGAGCACAUGUAUAUCAUUUUCUAGCUGUUUGUUGUGGUUUUGGGCUUUGUACUUUGGCAGGGUCAAAACUGAGCUUCUGCUUUUCACAGGUCCAUUGUCACCAAAAUUACCCACAUUUUGUCCUGUUAGCAUGUCCUAUGCAUUUCUGUACCAUCAUGACGGGGAACUUUGAUAGUGUGGAUUUUUUUUUAUAAGUUACUUCUUUACAGUAAGCCAACAAGCCUUGUCACUAUUCAGACAUGAAAGGGGAACCUUACAAAAGUAACCAAACCUGGACCAUGCAAGAAUUACACAUAGGAAGACAUGUAUACAGGCCAAACUCCAGUUUUAUCAGCAGAAUUCUAGCAGCUUUUGCUUCAUGUUCUGUAACCAGCUAGCUCGUUCUAAGCAGCCUUCCAGCACUGUUGAACUUCCAAAGUCAGUGUUACCUGGUGGCUUCCAAGGAAUACCUUUACAUAUAGGGUGCUCUGUCUGUCAGCCAGGCCGAGGGGGUCCUGCAGACUGGAGGUGAGCUGAGCCUUGUUGAGAAAUUUUACAGCACUUCACUGGACUGCUCUGGGCCAUUAGUCUUGUAGUCUCCUUACUGCAUACAGAUUACAGUGUGUUUGUAUUGACGGAGUUCUGUAGAUAUUAACACUGACUUUUUUUGACUCAGAAGAUGAAUUGUGGUAGUUAAAGGGUCAUUGAAUUAGGGCUUGAGACACCUUGUACGGUGUUAACCCUGGUGGGCAGCUGAGCACCGCCCGGCUGCUUGCUCAUUUCCCUAUGCUAGAAGGGGAGAGGAUCAGAAGGGGAAAAGUGAGAAAACUCCUGGGCUGAGAUAAGGGCAGUUUAAAAGGUAAAGCAAAGGUUGUGUGCACAAGCAAAGGAGAAUAAUUGACUUUGUCCCCUUGGCAGGCAGGUUUUCAGCCACUUCCAGGAAGCAGGGCUCCAACAUGCAAACACUGUGACCCUGAACGUCCCCCUUCCUUCUCCUUUCCCCCAGUUUUUAUUGCUGAGCACAACAUCUCAUGAGACAGAAUAUCCAUGGAGUCUGUUGGGGUUGGAAGUCCUGGCCAUGUCCCUUCCCAGCUCCUCGUGCACCUUGCUGGGAAGUAGAGAGAGCAACAGAGAAGCCUUGAUACCCUGAAAGCUCUGGUCAGCAACAGCCCUUGUGUGUGCUCAACACUGUUUUCAUCACAAAUCCAAAACAUACGCGUUGCAGUGAAGAAAAUUAAUUCCAGCCCAGCCAAAACCAGUAUACAUCUUUAGCUGCUAUUUUAUUCCAUAUUAAAAAUAAUUUGAAUCGAAUGUGUUUUAGGUUUGUUUUAGUCUUGAACAUAACACAGAUUUCUCACUUAAAUGGCAGUCCAGCUUUCAAACACCUACUUUCUUUUCUGAUGCUAAUAGUAGAACAGCAUACUAUACCUAAGAUACCUACUGCAGGUAUCAUAUUUUCUGUUUUAUGGAAAAGCUCUGAGGCUUGUUAACAUUCUUGAUAAGUAAAGGUAGCUUUUAUAUGAAGAAAUAAAAAUAAGAAAAUAAAUUAGAUAAAAUUUAAA